UAUAUACCAAUAGAGUAAUAUGGUUGGAUGCAGGAUUUGGAGAAGCUUUCCAGAAAAAAAGGCUGCUAAUAACCUACACAAUUUCUUUUAACUACACUGCAAUUAAAAUUGUUGCUGCUCAACUUGAGAGCUACAACCCCGAAGCACAUGAAGAGUUAAUGGAAUUUUUGAGUAGACACUCGUUGAAAGAUGGGGACAAAUUCUGUGCCACUAUGAUGAGAGAAUCAUCAAGACAUAAGAACUUAGUUAAUCACGUUUACCGAGCUACUUGAAUUAUUAUAGGUGCGAUCAGCAUACUGCAAAAAUGAUUUUGAAUGGAACAACUUGAAGCGCCUAGCUUUUAAGAAACCACUCCCGUUGAAACUGAGAAGUGAAUAGUCCCAACAACGAUGUGCAAGCUUCAUUGUUUCUUGUCACUCUGUUGCUGCAUAUAAGAGCAAAAGGGUUAAGAUAUAUAAUAGCACUAAAUGCAUUUGUUUCUGCUUUCCUUACCAGAAAAGCACAAGAUAUUUGUGUGAAAAAUGUAUAUCUCACAUCAAACUUGAAUGGAGGACUAAAUCUUCAAA